rnacentral:rRNA from 1 species
UGGGGCCUACGGGACGCAGCAGUGGGAAAUAUUGCACAAUGGGGGAAACCCUGAUGCAGCGACGCCGCGUGAGCGAAGAAGUAUUUCGGUAUGUAAAGCUCUAUCAGCAGGGAAGAAAAAAAUGACGGUACCUGAGUAAGAAGCACCGGCUAAAUACGUGCCAGCAGCCGCGGUAAUACGUAUGGUGCAAGCGUUAUCCGGAUUUACUGGGUGUAAAGGGAGCGUAGGCGGCGCGUUAAGUCUGAUGUGAAAACCCGAGGCGCAACCACGGGAGGGCAUUGGAAACUGGUGGGCUGGGG